rnacentral:rRNA from 1 species
CCUACGGGAGGCAGCAGUGAGGAAUAUUGGUCAAUGGGCGCGAGCCUGAACCAGCCAAGUAGCGUGAAGGAUGACGGCCCUACGGGUUGUAAACUUCUUUUAUAAAGGAAUAAAGUGAGGCACGUGUGCCUUUUUGUAUGUACUUUAUGAAUAAGGAUCGGCUAACUCCGUGCCAGCAGCCGCGGUAAUACGGAGGAUCCGAGCGUUAUCCGGAUUUAUUGGGUUUAAAGGGAGCGUAGAUGGGUUGUUAAGUCAGGUGUGAAAGUUUGCGGCUCAACCGUAAAACUGCAAUUGAUACUGGCAGCCUUGAGUGCAGUUGAGGUAGGCGGAAUUCGUGGUGUAGCGGUGAAAUGCUUAGAUAUCACGAAGAACUCCGAUUGCGAAGGCAGCUUACUAAACUGCGACUGACAUUGAUGCUCGAAGGUGUGGGUAUCAAACAGGAUUAGAUACCCUUGUAGUC